CUGGCGGCGUGCUUAACACAUGCAAGUCGAACGCGAAAGGGAACUUCGGUCCUGAGUAAAGUGGCGCACGGGUGAGUAACGCGUAGAUAACCUGUCUUCAUGUCUGGAAUAAUACGCCGAAAGGGGUACUAAUACCGGAUAUUCUUGCUUUUCAUAAGUUAUGCAAGCAAAGGUGGCCUCUGCAUAUGCUACUGCAUGAAGAGGGGUCUGCGUACCAUUAGCUAGUAGGUGGGGUAAUGGCCUACCUAGGCGACGAUGGUUAGCGGGUCUGAGAGGAUGAUCCGCCACACUGGCACUGGAACACGGGCCAGACUCCUACGGGAGGCAGCAGUGAGGAAUAUUGCGCAAUGGGGGGAACCCUGACGCAAGCAACGCCACGUGUGGGAAGAAGCAUUUCGGUGUGUAAACCACUGUCGGAAAGGAAUAACGGAAGACUUCGGUCUUUAUGAAUGUACUUUUAGAGGAAGCACCGGCAAACUUCGUGCCAGCCGCGGC
rnacentral:rRNA from 1 species